GACGAACGCUGGCGGCGUGCUUAACACAUGCAAGUCGAACGGUAACAGGCCCUUCGGGGUGCUGACGAGUGGCGGACGGGUGAGUAAUGCUUAGGAAUCUGCCUAGUAGUGGGGGAUAACCCGGGGAAACUCGGGCUAAUACCGCAUACGCCCUACGGGGGAAAGGCGGGGACGUCUCGGGCCUCGCGCUACUAGAUGAGCCUAAGUCCGAUUAGCUAGUUGGUAGGGUAAUGGCCUACCAAGGCGACGAUCGGUAGCUGGUCUGAGAGGACGACCAGCCACACUGGGACUGAGACACGGCCCAGACUCCUACGGGAGGCAGCAGUGGGGAAUAUUGGACAAUGGGCGCAAGCCUGAUCCAGCGAUGCCGCGUGUGUGAAGAAGGCCUGCGGGUUGUAAAGCACUUUC
rnacentral:rRNA from 1 species